rnacentral:rRNA from 1 species
UACGUAGGGGGCAAGCGUUGUUCGGAAUUACUGGGCGUAAAGGGCGCGUAGGCGGCACAGCAAGUCGGGAGUGAAAGCCCGGGGCUCAACCCCGGAAUGGCUUUCGAAACUGCUGAGCUAGAGUACAGAAGGGGCAACCGGAAUUCCCAGUGGUAGCGGUGAAAUGCGUAGAUAUUGGGAAGAACGACCUGAGGCGAAGGCGGGUUGCUGGGCUGAUACUGACGCUGAGGAGCGAAAGCCAGGGGAGCAAACGGGG